rnacentral:rRNA from 1 species
AUGGAGCAUCCACCAGAGCUUGAAGGAUCAAGCAUCUACAGGGUGCCGUUUGUGAGGGUGUCCUGCCAGAGGGAGCCGGUGGAGUCUUCGUCGACGGAACCCAACUGCAAUAGGAGAAAAGCAGUUGGCCCGACGACGCUUCCCCGCCAUCGUCUCCCUCGCCGUUCACAUUGUCUCAUGGGGCGGCUGUCUGCCACCGAGGAAUUAAAACGUAGAGAUGACCGCUCUCGCGAUCCCCUUCGCCCCCGCCACCACCUCCACCCUCGUCGCCGCCCCCGGCACUACCUCCACCCUCGCCGCCGCCAUAGAUCUCGCCGCCACCCCCGCCUCCUGACUCCGGGCGCGCCUGCCCCCCUCAGCAAGUCCACUCGCGCGCCCCAUGGAGUCGUCGGCCAGAUCCAUGGGGGAAUGGCUGGAAGACAGGCAGAUGUACAAGAUGCAUCUCCCACAUGUCUACAAAGCCUUCCCACAGAUGCUCCAGCCGCUCAACUCCGUCCUGCUGGUGGUGCCGCGGGAAACUCGAGGGAGGAGAUGGAGGGAGCGGGCGAUGCGGAUCCGCGACGACGCUCUCUCCUGGACCUAGUGCACGCGCGAAUGGAGGGAAGCAGAGGAGGAAGCUACGAGGGAGGAAGCCAAGGAGGGACCAAAUCCGCUCUCUCACUCGCGCAGGUAUGCUCGGAUGUGCAAGGAUCAUGUGGAUUGGGAGCUGCUGAAUCUAGCCAUGCGGAUCUACUUCGAAGGAGAUUUCUCGGAGAAGCACAGGAUGCCCCACCCCAGGGAGCCGCCGAUUGCGUUCGUUCGAUGGGUGAAAGGGGAAGUGAAUUCAGGAGAUCCACGCCGUGCUGCGAGAUGGGAAUGCUUGACUGGACUCAUGCCCAUCAGCACGCCACCGGAGUCGGAGCAGGUGGAUCCCCUACCUUACCUCUCCUCCAAACCUGCAGAAGAUUGAAAUUAGGCUUGCAAUCUACUUCAAUUGAGCUAUCUGGUGGUUAUUUCUGCUUCCUGAGAGACAACAUCUGGCUGGAGGAUGAGAAGAAACCAGCAACUUCGAUGAAUUUCCCUAUCACAAUGGGGGGGGGGGGGCGAGCGCCGGUUGGGCAGUGCUAUGACCCACCUCCACCCCAAAUGGGGGAACAAUCUGAGCAGGCUCCUGUAAUUUCCCAAGAUCAAUCUGUUGGUGGUUCUGUCUCUCAGAUCAGUGGGAAAUCGCAAGGCAAGAAUCAGCAAAAGCAGAGACAGGACAUCCAAAAAACUGCUCAUGCCCCUGCUUCGGGCCUUAUAGCAUACUCUGAGGUGAUUUGCUACAACGGUGGGGAACCAGGGGAUCAUUUGGAUAAAUGUGUCAAGCCCAAGAGUUGUUUUAUCUGCAAAAUGGUUACCCAUAAAGUUGAGAAUUGCCCAGUCAGAAGGAAAACCCACAAUUCUGCUAGAUAUGUUGGAAGUGCUGCUCCAGGAUUAGGGUUCUACCACAUAGACCCACCUGAUGAAAAUGCUCAGUAUCAUGGCUCCCUGAAGAAUGUGGGGAUUGUUCUGGUAGAAGCUGGUGAAGUGACCAAGCAGGAACUUCCGGCUGAGUUUGCAGACAUUUACAAAACCAACUGGCCCUGGCCAAUCAAUGCCCUAGAUGAGUGGACAUUCUUGGUCAAAUUCCCUCCUGAAAUAGAUGUUGAAGUCUGGAAAGGCAGGAUUGAGGCUGAAGAGGACCUCCAGGAAACUUGGAUCAAGAUCACGAAAUUGAACCCCCAAGUGCAUAAUUUCAAGUCAUUCUAUGAAACUGUUAGGGUCAAAAUCUUAUGUAAAGAUCCCUCCAAAAUCCCUGCUGAAAGGCUUUUUGGAGUUGGGAACAAAAUCUACAGGCUACUCAUUGAGGUGGAGUCCUUAGCCCCCACUGAAACUGGCACCUCCACCAACCUCUUUGCUGGUACAUAUGUCUCUGCAGCUGAAACUGGUACCAAUCUUACUGAAGAUGCUGAAUCCAAUAGGAGCUCUAGAUCUGAAUCAGAUAAAGGGCCUGCUGGCAAUUCUGGGGCCCCUAACAUCAGAGGACAGUCUUUUGGCCACAAUCAGAUGCUUGGAGAAACUACACCCACUUCGGUCCUCAAGACACGCCUCCCUGAUUCUCCAUACACUCCUCAAUUCAGCAUCCAGGAAAAGAUCUUGAAUUCUAUGCUUGAUGAAACUGAUGGAUUCAACCUCCUCAGGGAAAUGGAGCUCCUAGAAGAUGAUGAUCUGAUGGAACUAGAAGGUUCUAACUCUGACUUCCCUGCCCUUCCUAAGGAGAAGCACCUUCCCAAAUGGUGUCCUGUUCAAGCCACCAGAACCAGUGCCAGGGUAGCUGGUGACAAGAGAACCAUUAUUGAAAAGGCUCAACAGCUCAAAGAGGUUCAGAACCUGGAAGUGCAAAAACCCCAGGGUAUGAAACACACUUCCUUGUCCAACUUUAAUGAUCCUUCCUUCAAUGCCAUUGCUGCUAAGAUUGGUGUAGAUGUUACUCCUCUUAAUGAUGGCAUUGAAUGCUCUUCCUUUAUUUACCCUCACCAAAACAGAUCUGAAGGCUUUGUUUGUGAGAAUUUUUCUCUAGAUGGUAGUUCUAGUUUAGACUGCGUUGACCCCCUACUGAGCCAAGUGCGGGUCUCUGGCCCGCGGGUCGAGACCCCUGACCGGCGGUCCCACCCUAGGGUGACUGUACCUACCCGGCUACAGCCACCUUCUCACCCAUGCAGAGGCAGCUACUUGGCAUGGGUAGUCGGUUCAGCCCGUCCCAUUCCAGGUCUAUGGUCAGUACGAUUUGCGCCGCUUUUGAAAACCAUCCCUCUCACCUCUCUCUCUCUCCCCCAAGAACAGAGCACGGUCGCCGUCGCCUCGAUCUGCCCCGUCCGGGCAUCUCCGGUGACAUGGCGGACACCUACAGAUUCCCCUCGUCUCCCUCUACCAUUUCCCCCUAUUUAUUUGAUCCGCCGCCGCCAAAAACGUCGCCACCACUCAAUCCUAGCGCCGCCUGAUCCAGGUCCGGUGGGCUUGCCACCGGCUGCAGCGGCAACGACGUCUCCAUGCCUACAUCCUCCCCCCAGCGCAGCCACACGCAUAAGGCAUGCAGCCACAGGAGUCGGGCCUGUGCGGCUUCACCGGCGCUGCUCGGUUGCCAUGGCUUUGCUGCUAACGGUGUGGAGUAGCCACAUCCUACUGCUACUACUAGUAAGCGGGCUGGGCGGCGAGGCGGAGGGGGAUGCGGUGGCGAGGGGAUGCAAUGGUGACCACCUACGUGGACAGGUCAAGACCCAGAGAGGCGCGCAUAUAUGGGCCGCUGGAGCCAAACCACCAGGACUCCGGCAAGCCCAAGAGAUGGAAGGAGAUGAAGCUCCCGACACACGUCGUGUCCAGAGUCGCGCCAUCAUAGACACAAGCCAGAACACAGGAGAGGGACGCAAGUCCAUGGCCAAGGGUCGGGGUAGGUGGAAUGAGCACGGGAGGGGCCAGAUCCGCCCCGCCGCCGCUUUCCUGGGGUCCAGGGUGACUUCGCUGCGGUGGAGGGCGGCGACGGUGCCUGGAAGCAACAACGGCUACGGUUCCCUCCAUGUCGCUGGAGGAGGGACGACGGAUGGGGGUAAGCUGGUGAGCGGGGCAUGGCCAUGGAGGGCACCGCAGUGUGUUAGCCCAGGCCAGCCGAUGACGAGUAGCCAUUGUGGGGAGCUGCUGCCACGUGCGUCCAAAUGGGGGGGCGAAAGGAGUCAACUGCAAGGAGAAGGAUGCGUGAGGAGGGCAGGCCGGCGAUUUGGAUCAGGAGCUAGUCGUGCGGCACCUGCAAGCCCGCCGAAACAACAGAGGUGCUGGCGUGGGGGUAAGGGGGCCGAGGUUGUGAUGCGGGGGUGGGGAGAAGCACCUAAGGGGCCAGAUCUGCCCCGUCGCCGCCUUCCUGGGGUCUGGCACGACUUCGCCGAUAUACUACCGCCACAGCAGCCGCCCCGACUCCUCAAGGAGGCCACUCUCAUGGACGUAGAUUCUGUCCAUCAGAUCGAGAUAAUGACGGAGCAGUCGCUCCGUUACAUGGGGCUGUCGCAGGCGUGCAUCAAGGAUGAGCCGCCGUCCCCGCCACGCCACCACGUCAAGCCCGAGCCGGCGUCCACGCUCCUGCCAGUGAAGGAGGAGCCGGUCUUGCCCCGGCACAACCGCAACGUCCAGAUCAGACGCCGCGUGAAGGAGGAGCUGGCCUUUCCCCCGCACCACCGCGGUUUCCAGAUCGAAUGCCGGGAGGAGCUGCCGCCCGCACUCGAGAAGGCGUGGGGCUGCCUCCUCCACUACCUCGGCGGUCCCUCGGGCUCGAGGGGUGUCGUGUCUGAGGUGGAGCGCGCGGCUCAGCAGCAGGAGUGGUACGAUCGACGCAAUGCCAGUCACCGCCCCGCGUUUGCCAAGAGCGAUGUGGCGCCGGACUGCGUCCAUAACGACCCAGACCUCGCCGCCAUGUGGGCGCUCGACCGCCCCGUGACCACCACAAAGACGGCAGCCAGGCGUCGCCGCUGCCUUGACGGCGAGCUCGCCAAGAUCAAUGAGGAGAGGUCGCUUAGCGACUGCUCCGCGAAAGCUGGUCGCGGCAAGGCCGCCGCCAGGGCUUCGAAGGCCACGUUGGCAGUGGUCGUGGUGGCACUCUGCAUAGCGCAGCAGGAGGCAGAGUGUCUCCUUCGCGAGCGUAGCCAGCCGCCGGACAAGGCUGCCACGGCCCUCCGGUGCCAUUCCGCCGCUAGAGGGACCACGAGGAUGACGACGGCACCGACGGAGACAGCGGUGCGGCAGGACAUGGCGGCCAUGCGUACAAGGUGGUCGUCCGGUAUAAGGUUUAUGUUUUUUUCUAGUUUUUAA